AGCGAACGUUUGCGGCGGGCUUAACACAUGCAAGUCGAACGAGAAUCCCUUCGGGGAGGAAAGUGGCGCACGGGUGCGUAACACGUGGAUAACCAACCCAUUGGUUUGGGACAACACCGGGAAACUGGUGCUAAUACCAGAUGUGUCGCAGCUGUCUUCAGGCGGUUGCGAGAAAGGCCCGCAAGGGUCGCCAACGGACGGGUCCGCGUCCCAUCAGCUAGUUGGUGAGGUAAUGGCUCACCAAGGCAAAGACGGGUAGCUGGUCUGAGAGGAUGAUCAGCCACACUGGAACUGAGACACGGUCCAGACUCCUACGGGAGGCAGCAGUGGGGAAUAUUGCGCAAUGGGCGAAAGCCUGACGCAGCCACGCCGCGUGAGCGAUGAAGGUCUUCGGAUCGUAAAGCUCUGUGGGGGAGAAGAAGAAAGACGGUGAAGAAGCCGGCCCGUCGAGGUAGUACCCUUACGCAAGACGACCGGCGUAACUACCGUCGCACG
rnacentral:rRNA from 1 species